GCUGAAGGUAAACAGGCUGUUGUGUUUCCUAGGUGCUGUUCGUUGCUGUGUGGCCGGUAGCCAUGUGAUGAGAUUGUCCCAGUGCUUCACAUGUUUCUGGCUCCGUGUUCAAUCCAUUUGCUGAACACAGUGAAAGUAUCCAGUAUGUCUUUCCACCGUACCCUAGAGUUGGCAUCUUGUUUACCAGAGGGGAGCGGGGUUGUAUCCUGUGAUCCGAAAUAUAAUGAGGUAGAUCUUCAGUGAGAGCAUCUGAGAGCUUGAGUUGUUUUUUCGGAAACCUGGACCUCCACCAAAUGGAAAAUGCCAUCUGCUGGCACGUAGACCUCAGAUAAAAGGGAACUGAGGACCAAACUCUGACCACUGUUCUUUGUUCUAAAUUUCUUCCUGAGGGCCCUGGAGAAGGACACGCCUGCAGGCCAGAACUUAACAUUCCUUUCUGCUGACCCCAAGUUUUUAGGCAAAGCCUUACUUCGUGAACCAAUUGCAAAUCAGAGAAUCUUUGAAUCCACCUAUGGCCUUUAAGCCCUCGCUUAAAUAUAUCCCACCUUUUUAGGCCAAACCAGUGUAUAACCUUCAUGUAUCAAUUUAUAAUUUUGCCUGUAACUUCUACUUUCCUGAAAUUUACCCCUGCAUUUAAAAACCCUUUCUGUAAACCAUCAGG